rnacentral:rRNA from 1 species
GUACCGCAAACCGACACAGGUGGGUGAGGAGAGUAUCCUAAGGCCAGCGAGAGAACUGUUGUUAAGGAACUCGGCAAAAUGACCCCGUAACUUAGGGAUAAGGGGUGCCACCAUCAGGUGGCCGCAGCGAAUAGGCCCAAGCGACUGUUUACCAAAAACAUAGGUUUCUGCUAAGUCGCAAGACGAUGUAUAGGAGCUGACGCCUGCCCGGUGCUGGAAGGUUAAGGGGAUCUGUUAGAGCAAUCGAAGCAGUGA